rnacentral:rRNA from 1 species
GAUGAACGCUGGCGGCGUGCCUAAUACAUGCAAGUCGAGCGAACAGAUAAUGAGCUUGCGCCUUUGACGUUAGCGGCGGACGGGUGAGUAACACGUGGAUAACCUACCUAUAAGACUGGAAUAACUCCGGGAAACCGGGGCUAAUGCAGCAUAACAUGUUGAACCGCAUGGUUCUACAGUGCAAGGCGGCUUUGCUGUCUCUUAUAGAUGGACCCGCGCCGUAUUAGCUAGUUGGUGAGGUAACGGCUCACCAAGGCAACGAUCCGUAGCCGACCUGAGAGGGUGAUCGGCCACACUGGAACUGAGACACGGUCCAGACUCCUACGGGAGGCAGCAGUAGGGAAUCUUCCGCAAUGGGCGAAAGCCUGACGGAGCAACGCCGCGUGAGUGAUGAAGGUCUUCGGAUCGUAAAACUCUGUUAUUAGGGAAGAACAAAUGCGUAAGUAACUGUGCGCGUCUUGACGGUACCUAAUCAGAAAGCCACGGCUAACUACGUG